rnacentral:rRNA from 2 species
UGGCGGCAGUUGCACGGUGGUCCCACCUGACCCCAUGCCGAACUCAGAAGUGAAACGCCGUAGCGCCGAUGGUAGUGUGGGGUCUCCCCAUGCGAGAGUAGGGAACUGCCAGGCA